GCGGCGGUGGUGGUGUUGGUGACAGUGUGUGAAGGAAGUCUUGAUCAAGCUGACUAUAUUUCUCCCUGAAUUAGCGCCCCAACCUGACCUCCAGGGCAGACAAUGUCUACCAGAGGGUCAACACCGUGGCAUCCUGACCGUGGCACCCUUGACCUGACCAACAGGCACAAGACUGACAUAUAUUCUCGAGUCCAGAUCUUUCGUUAAGUUGGACUUGAGCCUACCAGCCGCAGCGGGGAAUAUGAAGAUAACACAUUGGGUCUAGUAUAAGAGUAACCAGCAACGCCACCAUCAUGGCUGAACCUCACCCACAGUACCCCAACAAGAUUCACAAAGUAACCCAGACGAGCUUCGAUGGGCCACAACUGCUCCACCACACCACUGGCAAUGUGUAUGGUAAUGUACAUUUCGAGGACAACUCCUUCGUGAAGGAACAGAACAAAUUGCGCACCCAAAUUGAGAUGUGGCUUCAGUCUGGCGAGAAGCCUUACGAGUGUGAUGGGUGUAAUAAAAGGUUUGCGCAGAAAAGCCAUCUUAACAGCCAUAUGCUAGUUCACACUGGUGAGAAGAAGUUUGAAUGUGACUUAUGUGGGAAGAAAUUCACAAUGGAAAGUCACCUGAAUGGGCAUAUGCUAGUGCAUAACACCGAGAAAAAGUACGAUUGUGAGGUGUGUGGAAAACAGUUCGUACAGAAGAGUCAUCUCAAUGGCCACAUGCUCGUCCACAGUGAGAAAAAGUUUGGUUGUGAAAUAUGCGGCAAGAGAUUCAUCCUGGAGAGUCAUCUCAAUAGCCACAUGCUGGUGCAUAGUGAGAAAAAGUUUGCAUGUGAAUUGUGCAAUAAAAGAUACACUCACAAGAGUCACCUCAACAGCCACAUGCUCGUACACUGUGAAAAAAAAUUUGAGUGUGAGGUCUGCGGUAAAAGGUUCAUUCAGCGAAGUCACCUGAAUAGCCACAGGUUUGUGCAUAGUGAGGAGAAGAGGUUUGAAUGUGAGGUGUGUUGUAAGAGGUUCUCACAAGAGAGCCACCUCAAUAGCCACAGAAUUGUUCACACUGAAGAGAAAAGGUUUGAGUGUGAAGGAUGUGGGAAGCGAUUUGCCCAGAAAAGUCAUCUGAACAGCCAUCGAUUUGUUCAUAGUGAAGAGAAAAUGUACGAGUGUAAGGAGUGCGGCAAGCGUUUCACCCAGGAAGUUCACCUAAAUAGCCACAGGUUUGUGCACAGUGAUGAGAAAAAAUUUGAAAAUCAAGAUUGGGGGAAACGAUUUGCACAGGAAAAUCACAUAAAUGGGCAUAGGAUUAUCCACAACGAACUAAAAAGAUACGAAUGCGACAAAUGCGGCAAGAGAUUUAUGUUGAAAAGCCAUUUGAACAGCCAUAAGUUUGUGCACAGUGAGGAAAGAAAAUAUGAGUGUCUCGAAUGUGGCAAAAGAUUUACACAAAAGAGUCAUCUUAACAGCCAUAGAUUUGUGCAUAGUGAGGAGAAGCUUUACGAGUGCCAGGACUGUGGAAAACGAUUUUCCCAACAGAUUCACCUCAGCAGUCAUAGGUUCGUGCACAGCCUGGAGAAAAAAUACGAAUGCGAUGAGUGUGGGAAGCGAUUCACUCAGGAAAGCCACCUCAACAGCCAUAGAUUCAUGCACACUGAGAAAAAGGGUUUCGAUUUUCAGGACUGUGCCAAGCUGCUGCCUCAGAAAAAUCAUUUGAACAGCCUGGUGGUGCCAGUAGUGCCAAACGAAGAAAAGACGGUGACUUACGAGGAGACCGGAAAGAUCUUCACUCCCCAGCCAUACCAACCAGCUUACUCCUAUGGUCAUCUCACAGGACAACUGUCGGACAAGGUUCGGACACUGUGGCCUCUGUAGCCAAGGUUCGAAGCUGUCUUACAGCUAAUAGGCAAAUAAGCAAAAGAAAUUGUUGCUACUCAUGUAAUUAAGCACAUUAUAUGUUUUUUGAAUUGUCUCAGUGUUAAUAUUGGCCAUACUCAUAGUGACACUAGUAUGAAUUAGGUAAUAGCUAAGUAAUGCAUAACUUAUGGGGUAGUAAUAUUUGCACCAUGCACAGACCAGACCUGUAAACUUGGUGCAUUAUGGUCUAGUAUCUGUCCAUUGGCUGUACUUUGAGUUGCCAUCAUUUCUGCAUAUUGCUGGGUAUCUUAAUUUUUGCAUGUUCCCAGACACCACGAGCUAUCUGUCACUGCGACAUAAUAAGAAAUUUAUAUUUUGAGAAUUACUCGUUUUACAAAAUAUUUCAGUACAUUGUCUCCCUGCUGUAAUAAGAAUUUUAUGUGGAAGCAAAGGAUGUGGAUCCUAUACUAAGGUGCAUUUGUUAUGGUUCUUCUUUGUUUGUAUUGUCAGCUAAUAUUUUAAUAGCCCAGACCAAGUUUGUAAUUGUUUUCAUAAUACAGUAGAACCUUGGUAUUUAAACUUGAUUGGUUCCUAGGUGGUGUUUGAACUACAAAAAGUUUGAUGUCUGAAACUGUAUUUCCCAGGCUUUAAUUAUCAGCCUCACACACUGGAGAAUGUCGAACUGACUCUUCCAAAAGUCUCUAAAGAGUUAGGUCAGUGUCAGAGGUCACUUCAAAGUACAGUGGUACCUCAAGUUACGAACUUAAUUCGUUCCAGAAGGCUGUUCGAAUGCCAUUACCGAACAAAUUUGUUCCCGUAAGGAAUAAUGUAAAUUAGAUUAGUCUAUUUCAGACCCCAAAAAAUACACUUACAAAAGCACUUACAAAAAUGCACUUACAUAAUUUGUUCGAGUUAGAAGCUGUUCGAAACUCGAGGCGCCACUGUACUUCUGACACACGGCUUUCGUGUAAAGAUUUUUUUACAGCCAAAUUUUAAACAAGGCAAUGCGUUUGGACUCCAGAAAAACAUUCAAAGACUGGGUAAAUUUUUUCUGAACAGAAUUGUUUGGACUCCAGUUUGUUCGAGGUCCAGUAUGUUUGAACACCGAGGCUCCACGGUAAUGAGUUGUGUAACAAGGACACUCGACACAUUCCAGCUUCUUCAUCUCCUUUUUCCAGUCUCACUACUGACUCCCUAUGCAACAUAACCUCGCAUGUACACACUCACUUAAGUUUUACAACCUCAUGUGUCCAGUUUUCUUUGUAGGAGAUAUUUAAGAGUUUUCAAAAAUUCCCCAGCAAGGUUAGACAGCUUAAGCUUCAUAAGGUCAAGCUGUUCUCCAAAAACUAUGUUCAAAGAAUCUAAAUUAAUUAAUUUUACUCUGAAGCACAUAAAGAUUAGGAUAAUUCCAUUUAAAAUAUAUUCUCCAGGGUUUUAAAAUUAUGGACUUUCGUAUUUACUUUAUACUUUUUGUUACCAAAUCAAAAAUUAAAUAUUUGAGUACUAAGGAGAAUUUGGCAGCAAAGAAGAUGCCAGCACUGUUUUUAUCUUUCCAUUAUUAAAAAAUUCAGCACUGUAUACUACUGUAUCUGAAAAGCCCAUAUAUGUUUAUAUACAUAAUACGAUUUAGUUAACAUUCCAUCUACAUCAUGCAUUAUAGUUUUUAUAAUGAAUUUUCAAUUGCUUCAUUAUAGUGAUGGUUUCACGGAGUAUAAAUUAUAUGAAAUACAGUACAUUAUGUAUGUAACUAGGAAAACUAGCUGUUAUUGGGAUUUUUAGGAAAGUAUACAGAUACAGUAAGAUAGUGUAAGGCGUUGUAUCUAAAGAUGUCUUAUAUAUUGUGGGAUCAAUUUUAAGUAAUAAACCAUGGAACUGGUGGGAUUUGAACCCAUGGAGAGUGAGUCGUAAAACUCACUCACCAUGGGCUCAGACCCACCCAUUCUGUGGUUUGUUUACAAUCGUGUUAUUACGAUUUUGUGAGUCUGUUCAUUCUACCCAGUAUAUAAAUAUAUAUACCUUAUCCUUAGUUUUCCACAUCUAGUCCGAAUUUGCUUUCACAAGUGUAAUCUGUACCACAAAAUCUGUGUCAUUCCACCCUCUGGCCCAUAGUCUAGUUUUGGCUACACUAACGACCUGAAUGAACAAACUAAGGCUUUGAACAUUUUUUGAUGUCGUGUAUUUCUGACCUGAAACCAAAAUGUAAAUGAACAUAGUGUUAAAACAUGAUUACAGUAAUAUGGAGACAGGUUUAACUGUUUAAAAUAAUAUGGAGAUAGGUUUAACUGUUUAAACCUCUUGAACAAACCACACACAGUCUGCACUCAAGUGUGUUUGAAUAUUGAAAAAACAAAUGGAUAACAAUUUUCAUUAAUGAAUGAAAUUUAAUUUAUUAGAGGAUACUGUGUUUUUAAGCCUAUUGUUCCUAUUACAGAAGUAUUCUUGGUUUACCUUCACAUGAUGUGUACAUCAAAUGCACCAGAUGGGUUAUGAUUAACCUUCAUAUGGCAGAAAUACUAACAGGCAGUGUAUACUAACAGCUAGUGUAUAAAGUAUGGGCAAAGUAUAUUUAUGUAUAAUUUUUUGAUAAUGAGAAACAAAAAAUCACUAUCAGAUUUCCUUUUUUUUUUUUGUUUUAACUUAAUGUAAGGCAGCUGUGGUUAACACUAAGGGUAAAUUGUUUUAGUGCAGCUGUGGUCAAUACUGAGGGUUAAUUCCUCUUCAUUAAAGCUCCCAGUACUUGCAAAUGCAUUAAUAUGAAGCUACCGCAUUAGAAAAUUAGUGUUGUAAAUAUGUAUGUUUGUAAUAUCUUGUAGUGUACAGGAAAUGUACUUAAUUACUGGGCAGGAAUCGAAACCAAGGCUAGGCAUGUGCCGAGCCUACACUCUUACCAUUGUACUGUACUGUGGUGGUUACAAUAGGAGAGAGAGUACCCCAUCAUGGGUAAUAUUAGCAUACCAAUGAAGGUGUCUGCAUUCUAUUGUAGCCACCACAGUACACCGGUCAAGUACAGGCUUUGUUAUGCAUAUCCUCGCAUUCGAUUCCUAUCCAGUUUAAUGUGAAUUUAGUUACGAUCAUUCGUUAUAAUUUUUCCAAGUACAUACAUACGUACCUCCAUACAUACACACACAUCCCUAUACGUUCAUACAUACCUUUAUAUUCAUACAUAUACAUACUGUAUAUGUACAUAUACAUGUACAUAUACCCAUACAUAUACAUGCACAUAUACACAAAAAUUUCGCAGCAAAAUAUAAGAAAAACGCUAAUAUCCUUGCACCUUCAUACUUCAUUAAUCAUAUUGUCCAAACACACAGUGAAGGAAACUCAUUGUGUUAGUUUAUUCUUCAGGAAAAAGACGUAACGAGUGUUUAUAAAACGUUCUCUGUGACACCAGACCUGUAGUAGAGGCAGCACAUGCAAUAUGUCCAAGAAUAUGUGAAAGGAGCUGCUGAUCACCUAGCAUCGGUCUCAAUAGUAAGGAUGAUGAAUUUAUUAAUGUCAGCCCUGUGGUGGGGAUGUGGCAAGGUAGUAAUGUUUAACCCUUAACCCGUAAAUGGUCCAAACGUAUAUAUACGUUUUUUCAACAUUUGAAAGUAUGUAAAAAAAGUAGAUCUUCUUUUUGUUUUUUUACAUUUGAAAAUGUGUAAAAAAAAAAGUAGAUUUACUUUUGUAGCGCUACACAUGUGAACAUAGAUCUGCUUGGACCGUUUACGGGUUAAACUGUCUAAACGUAGAUCUACCGUUCACUUGUGUAGCGCUUUGAAUAUUUUGGGAUUUUUUUUAAAUGAGAGCAUUUUCCCAGCAUCCCCGAAUUUUGUCGUACUGUGCAUACCGAGUGCACAGACCCGUUCUCUCAUGUCUAGGCUACUCCGGCAUAUCAUGCCAAGGUUCAAAGCAUGUAAAAUAAAAUGUAGAUCUACGUUUGGACAGUUUAAGGGUUAAGGACACCUAUGAAAGAGGUAGCCAUUAUCCCUAUGUUGGGCUUUAGUAGCAGCAAGUGCUGGCUUGGCUUUCCAGUGCUGGGUUACCAGUGCUGGGUUACCAGUGCUGGGUUACCAGUGCUGGAUUCAUUAGAAGUCCAGCAACAAGUGGGGCUGCUCCUCACCUGUGGACCCCACAUCAUCUUCAAGACAAGUCUGUUGAUGAGUGAUUUGGUGCACCAAAGGUGCAUAAAAUUCCUGCAGCAACAAGAGCUUUACAGCUGUUGCUGCAGGAACUGUAAAGAAUCUGCAGUAACAGGUGUAACAUGAUGCAGCAGAUGUAGAUAGUGAGAAAGAGAUGUAGAUGGUUCAGCAGAUGUAGAUGGUUCAGCAGAUGUAGAUGGUUCAGCAGAUGUAGAUGGUUCAGCAGAUGUAGAUGGUUCAGCAGAUGUAGAUGGUUCAGCAGAUGUAGAUGGUUCAGCAGAUGUAGAUGGUUCAGCAGAUGUAGAUGGUUCAGCAGAUGUAGAUGGUUCAGCAGAUGUAGAUGGUUCAGCAGAUGUAGAUGGUUCAGCAGAUGUAGAUGGUUCAGCAGAUGUAGAUGACUGAAGGGAGACAGAUGGAUCAGGAUUACUGGUAGAUAGUUUGGGAGACUUAGACCGAGGAACAGGUUUAAAGAAUGAAUCCAGCUUAUUUUGUCUGGUAUGCUACUGCUGCUCCCUUAUGACAAUUUUCCCUAAAAGUACAGAAGUUUUGAUUAUAGUCCUGAACUUUUCUUUGGUCUGAGAGGUUAAUAUACAUGAUGAGAACAUCAGUCACAUCUCAUACUGUUGACAGUUUUGGUAAUCUCUCAAUUUCAUCAUCAUCAUCAUCAUCAUCACCACUAUCUUCAUCUAUGGGGCCACCAAUAGCUUCGUCUACAAUUUCUACAUCAAUCAGCAUCUGGUAGCAUUUCCAUUUUCUUCCUGCCAUUCAAUCACAUUUUCCUCAAUGUUUGUUUCUCCUUCCCUCUGAAGUGUCUGAUGAAAAUCUGUGGCCUCGAACACCUCAGAGUCGAACUCAAUAUCAACCUUAUUUAACAGUUUUUAACAACCACUAGCUAAUGUUGUCUUUUUCAGUUCGUUCCACGACUCCACAGUGAUGAAGAUGGCAGACCUUUGGGUAUACUUCUUUGGCCUCUGUUGUCUUCCAAAUCUUGGUUUAACUUGAUAACUUCCUGGAGGGUGUUCCGUAUGUCAACACCCCUGUGGCCCAGUCCUUGACCAGGCAUGGUGGUGGAUCAUGGUCUCAUCAACCAGGCUGUUUCUGCUGGCUGCACAUAGUCCAGUGUACAAAAGACAGCCCAGCUGAUCAGGUACUGACUUUGUGUGUCUGUCCAGCUCCUUGAAGGCAGUCUAUUGGUAAUUCCCCUUAUGUCUGGUGGGAGGCCGUUGAACAGUCUUGGGGCUCUGGACACUAUAUUGUCUCUUAGUGUACUAAUGGUACCCCUACUCUUAUUUCAUCUAUAUAUCUUGAUUGAUACAACCUCUUACAAGCUGUAAUAAUCUUCUGAUCCAUAGGUUGAAUCAUAGAGGCAGUAUUAAUGGGCAGAAACAUGGCUUUAAUUCUAUCAUCACUGCUGAUUGAGUUUUCAGAUCAUGGGUAAACAGGCAUAUUACCAAGCAAGAGACAGACCUCGACUUCACCAGAUCAAGUUUAAGUGUCUAGCUUGUACUUGUGUACUUCAGGAAUGAAAUGCUUAUGAAAACAGAAAAAAUGUCCCUGUCAAACCAGUUUUUCUUAACCUUGUAAUAAAUGACCUCCAACUCUUUCAUACAAUCCUUUAAACACUGUGGAUGUGCUAAUUUGCCAGUAACUGCCAUUUACAACCACUAAACACUGUCAGCAUUACUGAAGCAUAAUACUGAGAAGUGUGUUUUGAUCCCAUGCUGAAAGUCUAGUAUGUGAGGAUUACAGGCACCAAAACAGACCGCUUUCAUCAGCAUUAUAGAGUUGAGAUACAAGAAGCCCUUCAAUCUCCAUCAGAUCAUUUAGUGAUAAUCUGAAGGGCUCAGUUUCCUCUGUAGAUGCACUGCCAUCCUUUCUAUAGGUUUUUCUGCUAAUUAAGCCAUAGCAUUCACAGAAAUGCUGAAGCCAACAAUCACUUAUCCCAAAUUCUGUUCCCAUAUAACUUGCUAGCUUCUUAGCUGCAGAGAAUGAACAUUAACACCAGCAGUGCACUGUGGAAUAUAGCAUUUAUGCAGUACUGCUUCAACCCUUGUAUGUUCAUGCACUUCCUAGGAGUAAUGCAAAAAUUUUUCAGGCUAGUAUCUACACUGUACUGAGAGGUGAGAGGUUCUUCUGUGUGGAACUCUGGGUCUUGGCAUUCUUGUUCCAGCCAUAAGUCAUGGCUUUCCCACAAAGGGCUGCAUAUUAUUGGGGCUUUCAUUUAGUCUUCUUUUUGCCCAUAGGGGACAGGACAUCUUUCCUGUUAGGUUAGUUCCCUUUCUCUUGCACUGGCUGUCACAUCACCUGUCCAUCAUUCAGCUCCUGUCCAGUGUGACAAUAGUUCUCUAGUGGCAUCACUUUAUAGCCUAUAUAUUGCAGCCUGUGGUUUUCUGGCUGUUCCUCCUCCUCAUCAGAUACCAGAGGAGCUCGAUUUCAACUUUGAGAUCCACGGAUCCUCCAGCCUGUCCUGCAGUGCUGCAUGUCACACCUAUGGGGCAGCAUCAUCCUUCCUGUUGCUUUUGUCUGUGUGUAUAGGUCCUUCCCCUCCUUGCCAUCUUCCAGAAGAGUAAUAGUUUAGUUCCAACAGAGGUUACAGUCCUUCCACCCACAGCUAGGUCUCCUUCAGUGUCAUGAGUGACGAAUGGUUCAUGGUCUCCUUCAGUGUCAUGAGUGACGAAUGGUUCAUGGUCUCCUUCAGGGUCAUGAGUGACGAAUGGUUCAUGGUCUCCUUCAGUGUCAUGAGUGACGAAUGGUUCAUGGUCUCCUUCAGGGUCAUGAGUGAAGAAUGGUUCAUGGUCUCCUUCAGGGUCAUGAGUGAAGAAUGGUUCAUGGUGUCCUUCAGGGCCGUGAGUGAAGAAUGGUUCGUGGUCUCAUUCAGGGUCAUAAAUGAAGACAUGGUUCUAAUCUGUUAUGGCUUCCACUUGUGCCAUUCUCUCCACCAUCAUGGGCUCACCCAGCACCAGGAGUCAUAACCUCUUUUCAUUCCACUAGGGCUGUCAUUUGAGACACUCAUCAGUGAGAGGAGACUAUCCUUGAAGAGGCCCAGUUUGUUGCCAACCACCACCAUUCUUUAACAUGUCAUCAGUACAAAUCCAUCAAGAGGGCAUUAAAAUGUUUCCUGGCACAUUGAAACAUUCCAGCCGCCAGUAUCACCGAAACUUUUACCAUUACUGGGGCGUAAAGAGAAUUGAACUGUGAGAUAUGGAGAUGAAAUAAUGUGUGUUUUACUGCGACGCAGCCUGUCGUGGACCACUGUACUUCACCUUUCAGGCCAAGUUUAACUGAUUUUCGUCACUGCUUUCUUGCUCCUGUAAGCUUUAUCCAAUUAAUGUACAGUGUCCACAUAUAUAUACAGUAUAUACAGGUUGGCCAUCACUAAUCCGGCAUCAGUGGGACCUGUAGUGUGCAGGAUUAGUGAGUUUACCGGAUUACAGAGUGGUUAAGUUAGAAUACACUUUAUUAACCUAUCAAUAGAGACAUUUUCUGCAACAUCUUCCUCAUAUUCAUCACUGCUUUCUCCUCCACUGGCUUGCUGCUGUGGGUUUACAACCAUCUGCACAAUUUCUGAGUCAGUAUAAUGUUGAAAUUUGAAAUUAUGCUAGCCGAAAUUAGUGCCGGAUUACUGAUGGAACCAGAUAACUGAUGGCCGACACACACACACACACACACACACACACACACACACAGGACAGGAGAGAUAGGGGGGACAUGAUAAUGACAUAUAAAAUACUGAGAGGAAUUGACAAGGUGGACAGAGACAGAAUGUUCCAGAGAUUGGACACAGCAACAAGGGGUCACAGUUGGAAGUUGAAGACACAGAUUAAUCACAGGGAUGUUAGGAAGUAUUUCUCCAGUCACAGAGUUGUCAGGAAGUGGAAUAGUUCGGGAAGUGAUGUAGUGGAGGCAGGAUCCAUUCAUAGCUUUAAGCAGAGGUAUGAUAAAGCUCAUGGUGCAGGGAGAGUGACCCAGUAGUGGCCAGUGAAGAGGCGGGGCCAGGAGCUAUGACUCAAUCCCUGCAACCACAACUAGGUGAGUAUAUAUAUACAAAAACACAAACACACACACACACACACACACACACACACACACACACACACACACACACACACACACACGCACAUACACACAUACACACAUACAUAUAUAUGCAUACAUACUUAGAGGAUGUUCCAAAUAACGGACCAGAUUUGAAAUUCAACUAUCGUUGAAACACCCUGUUUACAGACCUAUACAUUCAUACAAAUUAUACGUAGCUGUAAACUGGUAAGUGUCAGAUUACCUAAGAGAGAACAUUCACUUUUCAGCGAGGAUGCGUUGAAGCUUUGUUCUACCUCAGUCGAUUUUGUGACGAAUUUAAUAAUUAAGAAAAAUAGUAUAUGAUACAAAAUUGAGCUUGUCUCUCUUGACAGCUGCACAUUUAUCCCCAAAAAUAUUAUUUUCAGAGAAAAUUGUAUUAUAAGAUUGGGAUUUUUUUUUCCUAUACUAGAAGCAUAACUAAUUUAUGCUAGUAUCCCGUGCACUCAACAAUCUUGUCAUUUUGAAAAGUGACAUUGUCAUCAGUUUAUUUAAUUGCAGCUUAUUGCUUGUGCAUUUUAAGUUUAUACAAUUUUUUAUUUCAUAUUCAACAAUCACUGCUAUAUUGUGUGAUUCUUUUUUGUAAAUUGGGAUUUAAAAAGUUCAUCCCAAAUUGAGUAACAAGAAUGUUCCAUGCUAUUAAAUUUUUUGGGUUGCAUUUACAAAAAAACAUAACAGACGAGCUUACUGCAUAUAAAUAGAAACUGUACAAAAUUCAGAUACAUAAACAAUAGGCCGUCAUAGAGAUUAAUAUUUAACUUUGGAUACACUUUUUUAAUUACAUUUGCGUAAAAAUAACACUUUAUAUUAUAGUUUUAUGAGAGCGCUUACUCUAAUUAAAACACACACUGUAAUAUGCAUUAAUGACUGAUGCAUAAAAUCUUAUCAUUUUGUAAGUUAAACCAAGUAACAUAGCAUAUACAGUGGACCCCCGUUAAUGAUAUUAUUUCAUUCCAGAAGUAUGUUCAGGUGCCAGUACUGACCGAAUUUGUUCCCAUAAGGAAUAUUGUGAAGUAGAUUAGUCCAUUUCAGACCCCCAAACAUACAUGUACAAACGCACUUACAUAAAUACACUUACAUAAUUGGUUGCAUUGGGAGGUGAUCGUAAAGCGGGGGUCCACUGUACAGUAUACCCCCAUAUCUACUGAUUUGGUUUCCACAGUUUCAGUUAUCCACAGUUUACUGCGGCCUAAAAUUGUAUAUCAGAAAAUUCCAAAAAUAAAAGAUUCGUAGGUUUCAAAUACAGUGGACCCCCACUUAACGAUCACCUCCCAAUGCGACCAAUUAUGUAAGUGUAUUUAUGUAAGUGCGUUUGUACGUGUAUGUUUGGGGGUCUGAAAUGGACUAAUCUACUUCACAAUAUUCCUUAUGGGAACAAAUUCGGUCAGUACUGGCACCUGAACAUACUUCUGGAGUGAAAAAAGUUCGUUAACCGGGGGUUCACUGUACUGUAUAUUUAAAUUGUGUGUGUACGAGACAUUUUAAAUUGCUUCAUCGUUCCUUGAGAGAGAACAUAAAUAUAACAAUGUGCAAUGUAUUUUUUUAUUUAAUGCUGGUAAUGUCUUAUUAUGCAUAAUGUAUCAAUUAAAAUAUCAUAGGUAUGUAUGUAAAUGAAAAAAAAAACUUAUAUAGAGUUUGCUACUAUUCAUGGUUUCAAGCAUGGUAGGUCUUGGAAAGUAUCAAACUAUACCAUGGGCGGGGAUAGAACCCGGGCCAGCUGGAGUUUUGUGACUCUCUGAUCGCGGGUUCUAUCCCCUCCCGUGGUAUGGUUUGUUUGCAAUCACGUCAUUAUGAUUUAACGAGUCUUGGAAAGUAUCACCUGCGGAUACAGGGGGGACUACUGUAUUGUAACAUAAGUUAAUUAUGUGAAAUUUUCAAAUUCUGAAGAAUAACUUUUCUUGUAAUAACAGGCGGCCUAUACAAAAAACACUUCGUUUGAUCUAAGGAAAGUUUAUAGUUGUGAAGGUAUUAGUUCUUCUACUGUCGUAUUCGUAUUAUAGCUUGUGUUAUUCUCUUGUGUAAAUACAGUGUGUGCGUGUGUGUGAGAUUAAAUAAAUGGAAACUAAAUGAUCAGCAAUUGGAUAAAUGUUAGAAAAAGUCUAUAAAUAUGAGAAUGAAAUACAUAUAUAUUUCUUAUUAAAAAUUCUUCACAUUCAUUAAUGAAAUUAACGUAAGUGCAAGGAGAAAAUUAAGAUAAUCUUUAGCGCUAAAUUAAUUAUUUGAUGAAAAUUUUCUGCACGAAAAUCUGCUGUAUAUUUGUAAAAAUCAUAGUUAUUUCACAUAAUUUUCUCUUCUCUUAUAUGUAGGGAUGUUCCAAAGUAUUGGUAUCGACUGAUUUUGAUGGUAUCAGUGUUGACCUAAAGUUGAGUAUUGGUAUCAACGUAAAGUUGAGUAUUUGUAUUGGUAAGUAUCGGUUAAUUUUGAUAUUAGUAUCAGUGGGUACCAGAUAAUUUUGAUAAUAUCAGUUUGGCCAAAAAUAGAGUGCUGGUAUUGGUAUCAGCAAACAUUUUUGUAUUGUCCCAUCCCUACUUGUGAGAUAUAUAACAUCAUAGUAACAACAAUUGGUAAAGAAUAUAAUACAUGCUGAACAGUUUGAAGAAUAAGCAUUAUAACAAAUCAAGCCAUCGUCACUAAAUCAAUUAGGGUUCCAAUGAGCAUCGAUUAGAUUGAUAGUGUAUAAACUCUUUGCUGCAUGAAGGUAAGAGACAUCAUAACAAACAGGACCUUAUUUUCGAUUGCCGACCAUUGACACUUUCCCACACUGGUCUUUUCACUAUGUACCAGGAGUGAUCACUUACAAUUUAUAUUUAAAAAAAAAGUGCUGAGUAGAUUUAGAAAAGCUGGAGUCGGCAAAAUAUGAUAUUCCAGCUCGUCUGCAGUCUGAAGGUGAAUUUAUAACAUUUAUCAUUUACGGAAAAAUAAUUGAAUCAUGUAUGCAUUUUGCAAAAUAAAUUUCUUUAUAUUACACUAAA